rnacentral:rRNA from 1 species
GGGUUGUGAGGUUAAGCGACUAAGCGUACACGGUGGAUGCCCUGGCAGUCAGAGGCGAUGAAGGACGUGCUAAUCUGCGAUAAGAAAGCGUGGUGGAGUGAUAUAAUGAACGGUAUAACCGGCGAUUUCCGAAUGGGGAAACCCAGUGUGUUUCGACACACUAUCAUUAACUGAAUCCAUAGGUUAAUGAGGCGAACCGGGGGAACUGAAACAUCUAAGUACCCCGAGGAAAAGAAAUCAACCGAGAUUCCCCCAGUAGCGGCGAGCGAACGGGGAGCAGCCCAGAGCCUGAAUCAGUGUGUGUGUUAGUGGAAGCGUCUGGAAAGGCGCGCGAUACAGGGUGACAGCCCCGUACACAAAAAUGCACAUGCUGUGAGCUCGAUGAGUAGGGCGGGACACGUGGUAUCCUGUCUGAAUAUGGGGGGACCAUCCUCCAAGGCUAAAUACUCCUGACUGACCGAUAGUGAACCAGUACCGUGAGGAAAGGCAAAACUUAAACGAGGGUGAAGAAAAGAACCUGAAACCGUGUACGUACAAACGGUGGAACGCAGCAGGCGUGUGACUGCGGCCACCCUUUGUAUAAUGGGUCAGCGACUAUAUUCUGUAGCAAAGGUUGCUUGAAUAGAGGGCGAAGGCUCGAGUCUUAACUGGGCGUUAAGUUGCAGGGUAUAGACCCGAAACCCGGUGAUCUAGCCAUGGGCAGGUUGAAGGUUGGGUAACACUAACUGGAGGACCGAACCGACUAAUGUUGAAAAAUUAGCGGAUGACUUGUGGCUGGGGUGAGGCCAAUCAAGCGAGGAAUGGCUGGUUCUCCCCGAAGCUAUUUAGGUAGCGCCUCGAUGAAUUCAUCUCGAGUGAGCACUGUUUCGGCAGGGGGUCAUCGACACACCCGGCCCGAUGCAAACUGCGAAUACCGGAGAAUGUUAUCACGGGAGACACACGGCGGGUGCUAACGUCCGUCGUGAAGAGGGAAACAACCCAGACCGCCAGCUAAGGUCCCAAAGUCAUGGUUAAGUGGGAAACGAUGUGGGAAGGCCCAGACAGCCAGGAUGUUGGCUUAGAAGCAGCCAUCAUUUAAAGAAAGCGUAAUAGCUCACUGGUCGAGUCGGCCUGCGCGGAAGAUGUAACGGGGCUAAACCAUGCACCGAAGCUGCGGCAGCGACGCUUAUGCGUUGUUGGGUAGGGGAGCGUUCUGUAAGCCUGUGAAGGUGUGCUGUGAGGCAUGCUGGAGGGUAUCAGAAGUGCGGUACUGACAUAGUAACGAUAAAGCCGGGUGAAAAGCCCCACGCUCGCCGAACAAGGUUCGCCUGUCCAAUAACGUUAAUCAGGACGGGGUGGAGUCGACCAAGGCGAGGCCAGGCGUAGAUCGAUGGGAAACAGGUUAAUAUUCCUGUACUUGGUGUUACUGCGAAGGGGGGACGGAGAAGGCUAUGUUGGCCGGGCGACGGUUGUCCCGGUUUAAGCGUGUAGGCUGGUUUUCCAGGCAAAUCCGGAAAAUCAAGGCUGAGGCGUGAUGACGAGGCACUACGGUGCUGAAGCAACAGAUGCCCUGCUUCGGGGAAAAGCCUCUGGCAUCAGGUAACAUCAAAUCGGUACCCCAAACCGGUACAGGUGGUGAGUACUAGAAAGUACCAGCCUUGAGAGAACUCGGGUGAAGGAACUAGGCAAAAUGGUGCCGUAACUUCGGGAGAAGGCACGCUGAUAUGUAGGUGAAGUCCCUCGCGGAUGGAGCUGAAAUCAGUCGAAGAUACCAGCUGGCUGCAACUGUUUAUUAAAAACACAGCACUGUGCAAACACGAAAGUGGACGUAUGGUGGCGCCUGCCCCGGUGCCGGAAGGUUAAUUGAUGAAUGGAAUGGAACGGUUUGUAAAUGGGUAAGUUCCGACCUACUGCACGAAUGGCGGCUAAUGAUGGCCAGGCUGUCUCCACCCGAGACUCAGUGAAAUUGAACUCGCUGUGAAGAUGCAGUGUACCCGCGGCAAGACGGAAAGACCCCGUGAACCUUUACCAGCUUGACGCACUGAACAUUGAGCCGGUAUUGGCGAUGGGUGGGAGGCUUGAAGUGUGGACGGCAUAGUCUGCAUGGAGCCGACCUUGAAAUUCCCACCCUUCAAUGUUUGAUGUUCUAACGUUGACCCGUAAUCCGGGUUGCGGACAGUGUCUGGUGGGUAGUUUGACUGGGGCGGUCUCCUCCUAAAGAGUAACGGAGGUACGAGGUUGAAAGCUGGCUGGUCCAUCAGGAGGUUGGAGUGCAAUGGCAUAAGCCAAUACUGAGCGUGACAGCGAGCAGUGCGAAACAGGUCAUAGUGAUCCGGUGGUUCUGAAUGGAAGGUCCAUCGCUCAACGGAUAAAAGGUACUCCGGGGAUAACAGGCUGAUACCGCCCAAGAGUUCAUAUCGACGGCGGUGUUUGGCACCUCGAUGUCGGCUCAUCACAUCCUGGGGCUGAAGUAGGUCCCAAAGGAGGUAUGGCGCAAUUCCGCCAUUUAAAGUGGUACGCGAGCUGGGUUUAGAACGUCGUGGGAACAGUUCGGUCCCUAUCUACCGUGAGCGCUGGAGAACUGGGGGCUACUCUAGUACAGGACCGGGACGCAUCACUGGUGUUCGGGUCAUCGUAAUGCUUUUCUUGCAUUGCUAAAUGGAAGAGAUAAGUGCUGAAAGCAUCUAAGCACGAAACUUGCCCCGAGAUGAGUUCUCCCUGACUCCUUGAGAGUCCUGAAGGAACGUUGAAGACGACGACGUUGAUAGGCCGGGUGUGUAAGCGCAGCAAUGCGUUGAGCUAACCGGUACUAAUGAACCGUGAGGCUUAACCUUACAACGCCGAAGGUGUUU